GCAAACUUGGUCAUUUAGAGGAAGUAAAAGUCGUAACAAGGUUUCCGUAGGUGAACCUGCGGAAGGAUCAUUCAUAAUAAAAGUGUUUAUGGCGCUUUUUAAAUAAUCCAUAUCCACCUUGUGUGCAAUGUUAAUUUCUAUCAACUUGUAUCACUUUUAAUCUUUUUUUAUCUGAAAAUCUUAUGAAUUUUUUACUUAAUUCAAAAAAAAAAAAAAUAUAUAACUUUCAACAACGGAUCUCUUGGCUCUCGCAUCGAUGAAGAACGCAGC
rnacentral:misc_RNA from 1 species